AGCCUGGGCAACAUGGCAAAACUCUGUCUCUACAAAAAAUAGAAAAAUUAGCCAAGAGUAGGGGUAUGUGCUUGUAGUCCCAGCUACUCGGGAUGCUGAGGUGGGAGGAUCGCUUGAGCCCAGGAGUUCUGGGCUGUAGUGCGCUAUGCCGAUCGGGUGUCCGCACUAAGUUCGGCAUCAAUAUGGUGACCUCCCGGGAGCGGGGGACCACCAGGUUGCCUAAGGAGGGGUGAACCGGCCCAGGUCGGAAACGGAGCAGGUCAAAACUCCCGUGCUGAUCAGUAGUGGGAUCGCGCCUGUGAAUAGCCACUGCACUCCAGCCUGAGCAACAUAGCGAGACCCCGUCUCCCGGGAGCGGGGGACCACCAGGUUGCCUAAGGAGGGGUGAACCGGCCCAGGUCGGAAACGGAGCAGGUCAAAACUCCCGUGCUGAUCAGUAGUGGGAUUGCGCCUGUGAAUAGCCACUGCACUCCAGCCUGGGCAACAUAGUGAGACCCUG
rnacentral:lncRNA from 1 species